CUCAAUGGGGCUUUUUGUAAGUCCAGUUGAUGGUCAAGACCUGGAAAUGGGUGUGAUCACAUUUGGGAAUCUUUAUUAUUAUUAUUUCUUAUUCGAAGAGGAAAAAAAAGGUUAACCUGGAAACGAAAAAAUAAAAAAAAAGAUUCCAUUGGUUCCUUUGGAUUCUUUUGGUCAAUUAUAAUGACCAACAAAUUCCCGUAUAUUCAUGAUCACCCACCGACAGCCCCACCUUUGACUCGAACAGAUAAACAAUCAGUAAAUCAUCAUCAUGAUAAUCACCAAAAACUCACAAACAAUCAACUGAAUCACAUGGAAAUCAAUUUGAAAAACAGUAAAACAAAUUCAUCAAAUUUCAUGGCGAAACUUUCACUCUCUCUUUCUCACUUAUCAUGUAACAAGACACAACAAUCAACUAAUUACUUCUGUCAAUCGUAUCAAUCAAAUCAUAAUUACGCUGAUAAUGAAACAAUUAAACAAUCAGAAAUACCAAAAAUAAAGUGAUUACAUUGAAAGGUAAACCUUUCAUCGUCUCUUUCUCACAAGAAAUUCAUCUUUCCUCCUUUCUCACCCUCCCCACCCUCCUCCAUCCUCCCUCAUC